GCCACCCUAGCUCAGUCGGUAGAGCAACUGAUUCGUAAUCAGUAGGUCGGCGGUUCGAAUCCGCCGGGUGGCUCCA
rnacentral:tRNA from 1 species